UGUAAGUGUUGUGCUUAUAAAUUUUUUUCUGCUGUAAAAUCGUAUAUUCUUCAAACUUAAAGGUGAGAUUAGCAUGUUUACACUCGUAAAAAUCCGUCAUCCGGAUCUGGUUUUUUGUUAUGACACUUUGAUGGAUGACUCCCAGAGUUUCAUGGUAUCAAACAACUCUUUGACCUUUUGAUAAAUUGCUUUAGUGCACUGCUCGUGAACUGAAGCCGCAUUUUUAAUUGCAGAAUUUUGUAUGUUCGUAGGACAGUCAGGAGAAUAUAUGGAUUUCAGUAAUUUCGUAAAAGGCAACAUACACUCUGGAAUGUAUAUUGAAAGAAACUGAAAAAGAGAUUCUUUCGUGCCUUGAUACUUAGACCAUGACAUAAUAGUUGUUUUUGUUACUAUAGAACGAUCUUUCAAUUCGACAGAUGAUUCAAAGUCUGAUUGAGCUUGAAAGAGAUGUAAAACGUA